rnacentral:tRNA from 1 species
AGGAUUAAAGUUUAAAUUAAACAUUUGAUUUGCAAUCAAAAAUUAUUGAUAUGAAAUUCAAUUUAUCUUA